UACGUAGGGUGCGAGCGUUGUCCGGAAUUAUUGGGCGUAAAGGGCUCGUAGGCGGUUUGUCACGUCGGGAGUGAAAACUCGGGGCUUAACCCCGAGCCUGCUUCCGAUACGGGCUGACUAGAGGUAUGCAGGGGAGAACGGAAUUCCUGGUGUAGCGGUGAAAUGCGCAGAUAUCGGAAGGAACAUCAGUGGCGAAAGCGACUUCCUGGACCAGUACCGACGUUCAGGCACGAAAGCGUGGGGAGCAAACAGG
rnacentral:rRNA from 1 species